UGACAGCCGAAAGCGCACGGCGGCAGUUAAUUGGCUGGCGUGCCGCUUAAGGAAGGGUUCAGCAAUUAUAACCAGGCAGAGAAAAGAUGCAGUACACCAGAAUAUAAAAAGUAAACCACUCUAGAUUUGUCUUUGGAGUGCUGGAUCUAAAUAUCUCAUAUAUGUAGCCAUGUACACUUCAUUAGCAGUCCUCAAUGGUCUCCUCUGAUUACCGGAACAUGUACGAACAGCAUAUCAUCAGGCACUUCCUUAUAUGCAGAGCAAAGGUGAUGAUGCCUUGAAAAAAGGAGAAGAGAGAUUUGAUUGCUAAGCAAAGUUCUGCUUUUGAAUUUAGGCCUACUUCAGAAAAGUUAUAUUUCUUACAGGGACAUCACUGCUACAAUGGAAACUGGAUGUAUGAGUCCACAUCAUCACCUGUAGGGAGUACAGACAUGCUUAGUUUGCUAUAUGCCACCUAUCUGAGCCUCCAGCCAUAUGCUACAUGUGACAAAAUUGUUCUGUAAUGUAUAACUGUACAUGGGUUAUACAUGAAGAUAA